rnacentral:rRNA from 1 species
GACGAACGCUGGCGGCGUGCUUAACACAUGCAAGUCGAACGGAAAGGCCCUGCUUUUGUGGGGUGCUCGAGUGGCGAACGGGUGAGUAACACGUGAGUAACCUGCCCUUGACUUUGGGAUAACUUCAGGAAACUGGGGCUAAUACCGGAUAGGAGCUCCGCUGCAUGGUGGGGGGUGGAAAGUUUCGGCGGUUGGGGAUGGACUCGCGGCUUAUCAGCUUGUUGGUGGGGUAGUGGCUUACCAAGGCUUUGACGGGUAGCCGGCCUGAGAGGGUGACCGGCCACAUUGGGACUGAGAUACGGCCCAGACUCCUACGGGAGGCAGCAGUGGGGAAUAUUGCACAAUGGGCGGAAGCCUGAUGCAGCAACGCCGCGUGCGGGAUGACGGCCUUCGGGUUGUAAACCGCUUUCGCCUGUGACGAAGCGUGAGUGACGGUAAUGGGUAAAGAAGCACCGGCUAACUACGUG